GUCCAGGGAUGGGAAUCGAACCCACAGUGUUCUGCUAACCGGUCAGACGCCUAGUCGACUAGGCUACCCUGGA
rnacentral:tRNA from 1 species